rnacentral:rRNA from 1 species
UACAGAGGGGGCAAGCGUUGUUCGGAAUUACUGGGCGUAAAGCGUGCGCAGGCGGUUUUGUAAGCCAGAUGUGAAAGCCCCGGGCUUAACCUGGGAAUGGCAUUUGGGACUGCAAGGCUUGAGUGCGGCAGAGGAGACUGGAAUUCCUGGUGUAGCAGUGAAAUGCGUAGAUAUCAGGAGGAAUACCGAUGGCGAAGGCAGGUCUCUGGGCUGACACUGACGCUCAUGCACGAAAGCGUGGGGAGCAAACAGG